AGUGAACGCUGGCGGUAGGCCUAACACAUGCAAGUCGAACGGCAGCACAGUAAGAGCUUGCUCUUACGGGUGGCGAGUGGCGGACGGGUGAGGAAUACAUCGGAAUCUACUUUUUCGUGGGGGAUAACGUAGGGAAACUUACGCUAAUACCUCAUACGACCUACGGGUGAAAGCAGGGGAUCUUCGGACCUUGCGCGAUUGAAUGAGCCGAUGUCGGAUUAGCUAGUUGGCGGGGUAAAGGCCCACCAAGGCGACGAUCCGUAGCUGGUAUGAGAGGAUGAUCAGCCACACUGGAACUGAGACACGGUCCAGACUCCUACGGGAGGCAGCAGUGGGGAAUAUUGGACAAUGGGCGCAAGCCUGAUCCAGCCAUACCGCGUGGGUGAAGAAGGCCUUCGGGUUGUAAAGCCCUUUUGUUGGGAAAGAAAAGCAGCAGGUUAAUACCCCGCUGUUCUGACGGUACCCAAAGAAUAAGCACCGGCUAACUUCGUG
rnacentral:rRNA from 1 species